rnacentral:rRNA from 1 species
UACCAGCACCCCGAGUGGUCGGGACGAUUAUUGGGCCUAAAGCAUCCGUAGCCGGUUUUACAAGUCCUCCGUUAAAUCCAGCUGCUUAACAGAUGGGCUGCGGAGGAUACUAUAAGACUAGGAGGCAGGAGGAGGCAAGCGGUAGCGUCAGUGGGUAGGGGUAAAAUCCGUUGAAGUCCGAUUGAAGACCCACCAGUGGCGAAGGCGG